CAAACCGUGAGCUAGACACAGAGUGCUGAUUGGUGCAUUUACAAUCCUCUAACUAGACAUAAAAGUUCUCCAAAUCCCCACCCGACUCAGGAGCGCAGCUGGCUUUGCUUAGUGGACCCCGCGCCAGGGUCGCCAGCGAGCCGCCCGCCAGUGCCGCGCAGUGUCUGCACUUCUCAGCCGUUUGGCGGUCGACGGGACCGGGCGCCAAGAAGCAGGGGGUGGCCUCCCUCGGGGAGGCUCGGGCCGCCUGGGAGCCCACCGCGGGAGGUGGGUGGGGGGAGGCCUACGGGCAUGGCUGGCUGCAGGUCCCGAGCCCUGCCCCGCGGGGAGGCAGUUGAGACCCAGCGAGAAUUCGAGCGCAGCGCCAGCGGGCCGGCAGUGCUGGAGGACCUGGCGCACCCUUUGCAGCUGCUGGCCCGGGUCGGGUGCCGAGCUCCUCACCGCCCCGGGCCGGCGCAGCGGCUCCAAGUGCGGGGACUCGCCGAGCCCGCGCCCACGCCAGCGGCGCGCACAGCCCCGGUUCCCGCCGCCGCCUCUCUUUCCACACGUACCCUCAAGUAGAGGGAGCCAGUUCCGGCCUUGGCCAGCUCAGAGAGGGGCUCCCACAGUGCAGCGGCAGGCUGAAGAGCUCUUCAAGCGCGGCCAGAGUGGGCGCUGAGGCCGAGGAGGCGACGAAAGCGAGGGCUGCUAGCACGUUGUCACCUCUCACUAGGACCUUCUAUGAGAUGUUGUUUCUGUCUAGGAUUGCUAUCUGCUGCUCCUCCCAACCGUCUCUUGGCUAUGCUCCAAAAUGCCGCCUCUCUCGUUCCACAUCCAAGACUGCAAGCAACAUGAGAGCCCAAAUCCCAUCUUUCAUGUUUAUUGUCCUAUGCUCAGAAUCCAGAAAGAGAUGCUGAUUUUAAAACUGAUGCUCAACGCAUACCUAGAACAACGCCUGGCACCCAGUAGACGCAACAAAAAAGUUGAAUGAAUGACAGAAAGAGCAAAUUUGCACUUAGAUUCAUGCUGUUCAAUAAAGUUAACCCAAGGCAAAAUUGUAAAAAUACAAGGAAUUUAACUUAAGUACUUUUUUUUCUUGAUAAACAAGCUUCCCUUGUUUAAUUGCUUACUAAGCACACUCUAAAUAAAGCUCAACCUUUUUGUAUCACCACCAAGGUUAAUUCACUAAUGAGUUGGUAACAACAUUGUUUCAAAUUAAAACCAUUAGCAGGAGAUGACCAUGCUUAAUCCAAAGCAUCUUAAAGAUGAUUAUGAGUUAAAUGCCUUACUCUACAAGUUUCUACGUGUGAGAAAAUGAAGCCCAGAAACAUCAACGACUCACCAGAUACCACAAAGCAAAUUCAGCUCAAAACUGGGUCUUCAGAUUCCCAACACUGCACUCCCUCCAGAAGUAACGUCGCUUACUUGGAGAGAGAGACGUCCUGGGAAGACAGGAUGAGGGUGAUAAUUUCUAAAGUUAGGCAAGCUUUCUUGAUGCUCCUUAAAUUUCAGUAGCCUCAACCCACACCUACUUCAGCGGGUUACUGUAAGAUUAACGAGUUAUCAGCUAUGAUAGCACCUGGUAAAUUAUAAACUGGAAAGCACUUGGUAAACUGUAAAGUACUUGGUAAACGGUAACCAUAAAGCCCAGUACAAAUAUUGGUGGAUUUCAGAGAACAUUGCCCUCUGACCCUGGCAAUCCCACCGUAAAAUCUUGAGCUAUUUCUUUGCAUGACAAGUCCCAGAUUGAAUCCUGUAGAAGUGUAGAGCAACUAGUAUCCUCAGUACCAAUUUGGAAGCAAUAUUUAUAGAAAUUCAAUUCAGGCUGUUUUCUGACGGUUUGCUAAACUUCCCUGGUAUAAAAAUUUAAGAGUUGAUAAACAGUUUACUAUUCUGCUGCCAGUUUAGUCCUGAGACGCUUUUUUCAUCCCCACUGCGUCCAGUUACCAAAAAAGGAAAUGUCUUCUCUGACAGAAUCAGAUAGGUAGCGGGUUUUAUAGGCAUUAGAAUGUCUUUAAUGAGGGUGAGCAUGGGGAAAUGUUUUCAAUAAUUAGAACAUUUACCGCAGGAUUCUAGAGUCUCCCCGGGGUUCAGGAGAGGAUUCUUCUCCAACAAGUCUUCCUUCAGUAUGCAUUAACUGAUAUUCUAUUGCAUAGAAUUCAUCCUCGCCAAAGGCAUGUGUGAAACAUUUAAGUAACCAAAUGAUGUCUCUGGAGUCCUGUGCCCAUAGUUUCUGAUGAUAUGUAGAGUUGCUCUCAGAGAGACACCACCACAAACCUUUGUGCCAGGAGGUUUUGGGGGAUUAAGUUAUCAGGGUGCUUUCAGGUGCAAGGAAAUGAAUACCCCAAUAAAAGUGCCUCAAACAAUUGGAUUUUUAUUAUUGUUACUGUCUCGCAGAACAAGACUAGCCAUAGGUAGGCAGUUGCUGGGUUGGGUCAGAAGCUCAGUGAUGUGAUCAAAGACACUGCUUCUUUUCAUCUUUCUGUUCUCUCAUCUUCAAAGUGAACUUGUAUUUCCCACAUAGGUCACAGGGUGGCUGCAGCAUGGGCAAGUUUUACAAUUGCAUGUGAAAAUAUCUGGAAGAAAGAAAAAAAAGAGACACGACUGGAUUCUAAAGCCAUCUUGAACUGCAAGAGGGACAGGGAAAAGUGAAGCCGUCAUCUCUGUCCCUGUCUUGGAAUUGAGCACUUCCAACAGGCAAGAAGGAUGAGCAAAACACUUGUUGGAUUGGCUGUUAUAAUAAGCCACUAUUUGCGUGUUCUGAAUACUUCACAUGUAUUAGUCCACUAGGUCCUCAUAACAAACUCUUGGGAGGGAACUCCGGGACAACAACAUAACAGCGAGCAGGUGGCAGAGCAUCACCAAGACAUAAAGAUAUGAGGAAGAGAGGGGCGCAGGGAAGGUAUCAGUCCAAAAAGGUAGUAAGAUCAUAUGAAACUAAAGAUAUGAAAUAAACACGUGAUGUAGAAGUUCCUUCGCCAUUAACUCAUUCUCCCAAACCUGAUUUGAGUUCCUUAAGAUUUAGGUAAGACAGGUCCCAUUUUCACUGACUUCCUUGGAGAGACCUAAAGAAUUUAAAGCAAUUUGCUUUAGGUCAUAUAGUUGGUAAGUGGCAGAGCCAGGACUAAGCACCAAGUUCAAAUAGCUCCAAAAACAGGUCCUACACACCUACAGUCACUGUGAGGAUUAAAUAAGCUGAUACAUGUACAGUUCUUGGCACAAUGACUGGUACAGGAGUGGUGGUUGAUGCCUUUGUUAGUUUCAUCAUUAUUACAUUUCAACAGAUCCCUCUCGUACUGGUAUCAGAAGAGAAAGACUAUGACAUUAUUGCUUCUAAGGAAGAGGUGAAGCCCUCUCACCCCCAAUAUGCCUCAAUGCCAGAAUCAGGAGGCAGAUGAGAGGUACACAGCCCCAUGAGAAGCAGUGCUUGACACAGGCUACUGUAAUAGGUGUCCAUCCAUCCAAGUCCUACUGCCCAGCACUCAGCUCAGACGGAACAAGAGGCUGCCAGACGAGAGGUAGGGAGGGUGGCACAGAUGCAACUGUCACCCUAACUGUAUUUCUCACCCUACCAUAACCUUCAUUACUGACAUGGUCAAAAAGAAAACAGAGGCUGCAGCAAUGGCAGCAGAAGCAGCAAUGAAAGCAACCAAGAGAGAAGGCAGCUGGCACUGGAGGGCCUCGUGCCAGGUUCCAGGCACAGAGGGAUUCUGGCAGUGAUUACAGCGGUAAAUAGAGCUGAUGGUUGUGCCGGGGCCCUGGGCCUACCAGGAAGGGAGCAGGGGAGAUGAGAUUCUUAUAAUUACACUGCUUUAGACUCAGCUAUCAUGGGGUUACCCACAGAGGACUCUGAUCUGUCCCCAGGCUGGGAGUUGCAGAAGCACCUGUUACAGCAGAAGUCGUUUGGCAAGCCAAACAAAACACGGAUUCAUCCAGGCCACCUGUAAAGGAAUUUGAUGCCUAACAACCUAGGCAAAGCUUCUAAUUGUCAUAAUUAAUUUGGCACCUAUUCACUGGUAGGUGCUAAACAAGUACCAUAUGGCGAAAGCCCAUUUCCUGCUAACGUGGUUUAAUCCCCCCUAUGAUUAGAGCUGCGAGAAAUUGUGUCAUUUGAAAAACUCAAGCACAAUAUUUUCCUCACAAAA